UACGUAGGGGGCAAGCGUUGUCCGGAAUCAUUGGGCGUAAAGAGCGUGUAGGCGGCUUGGUAAGUCCGCUGUGAAAGUCCAGGGCUCAACCCUGGAAAGCCGGUGGAAACUGUCAAGCUUGAGUCCGGAAGAGGCGAGUGGAAUUCCUGGUGUAGCGGUGAAAUGCGCAGAUAUCAGGAGGAACACCAAUGGCGAAGGCAGCACUCUGGGCCGGCACUGACGCUGAGGAGCGAAAGCGUGGGGAGCGAACAGG
rnacentral:rRNA from 1 species